rnacentral:rRNA from 1 species
UACGAAGGGGGCUAGCGUUGCUCGGAAUUACUGGGCGUAAAGCGCACGUAGGCGGCUUUCUAAGUCGGGGGUGAAAUCCUGGAGCUCAACUCCAGAACUGCCUUCGAUACUGGAGAGCUCGAGUCCGGGAGAGGUGAGUGGAACUGCGAGUGUAGAGGUGAAAUUCGUAGAUAUUCGCAAGAACACCAGUGGCGAAGGCGGCUCACUGGUCCGGUACUGACGCUGAGGUGCGAAAGCGUGGGGAGCAAACAGG